UCGGGAAUAUUGGACAAUGGGCGCAAGCCUGAUCCAGCCAUGCCGCGUGUGUGAAGAAGGCCUUCGGGUUGUAAAGCACUUUCAGUAGGGAGGAAGGCUGACCGUUUAAUAGACGGUUGGAUUGACGUUACCUACAGAAGCAGCACCGGCUAACUCCGUGCCAGCAGCCGCGGUAAUACGGAGGGUGCAAGCGUUAAUCGGAAUUACUGGGCGUAAAGCGCGCGUAGGCGGUUUGUUAAGUCGGAUGUGAAAGCCCUGGGCUCAACCUAGGAACUGCAUCCGAUACUGACAGGCUAGAGUACGGUAGAGGGGGGUAGAAUUCCACGUGUAGCGGUGAAAUGCGUAGAGAUGUGGAGGAAUACCGGUGGCGAAGGCGGCCCCCUGGACUGAUACUGACGCUAAAGUGCGAAAGCGUGGGGAGCAAACAGG
rnacentral:rRNA from 1 species